rnacentral:lncRNA from 1 species
CGGCGGGAGGGGCGGGGCCGGGCUGAACCAUGGCGGGCGGCGGCAUGGGGGCGGUGGGGCUCCGCGGGCAGCCUGGUUGCGCUGCACCCGGACGGGGCCGAGGGGACCUGAAAGCUGCGGCAGAGCCUGACCGCGCCGUUCUCCAGAAGAGCCCCGGCCGCGGCUGAGUCGCGCUCCGGGUGUGGACGGAGCCGGAGCCUCCCCGGGGCUCGGUGAGGACACAGGGCCCAAGCCCCGGACCUUCAAGUCUUGACCGAGCGCAUCCCCGGCCCUUCUGCGCCCACACCUGAGUUUUUGUCUGUAGGAGUUUCCGCAGUUUGCUAAGAAUCGACAUCUAGAGGAGUACUCACCACUUAAUUGAUGAUCAAUACACGUUCCUUGAAAGAACCGAUAGCAUGCGAUCGAUACAGAGCAUCUGCACUGGGAUUGUCCGCCCCGCCUGUCAGGGAGGCCUCGGGGGCUAAUGGAGCUGAGGGUAUAGUCGGCCUUGGACCCUCGCUUUUUUCCUUUCCUGUACUAUGAAGAUAACUGCCUUAUCUCCCCCUCAGGACUGUUUUGGGGAUUAAAUAGGACGUUUAAAUUACCAACGCUCUUUGAAAUAAACAUUUCAAAAUUAUUAUAACCCUUUAGUACAUGUGGGAAAACGUUGACAUUCAUGUUCAAGUUUAUUUUUCUGCUGGCUCAUUUAGGUUUGUUGAAGCCUUGAGUCCCUAGGAUUGUCUAAGAACAUGGGUAAAUGUGUGUGGAGGCCUCCCUGGAGGCCAGAGAACUGCCAGCAGCCUUCAUGAUGUUAGGGGAACAGGAACCUAGGAGAGCCAGGGUGACAUCGUUUUAAAAUCAACAACCCAUCUUGGCGGGCGCGGUGGCUCAAGCCUGUAAUCCCAGCAGUUUGGGAGAAAAAAAUUAGCCGGGUGUGGUGGUGGGCACCUGUAAUCUCAGCUACUCAGGAGGCUGAAGCAGAAUUGCUUGAACCCAGGAGGCAGAGGUUGCAGUGAGCUGAGAUCACGCCAUGGCACUCUAGCCUGGGCAACAAGAAUGAAACUCUGUCUCAAAAAAAUAAAAAUAAAAUAAAAUAAACUCCAUCUUAAAACCAGUGAAACCACCAUUGCAAAAUUAUAACUGAGACAGUGAGAGAUCUGACCUAACCAACUCCAUCCUACUUUUAACCUCCAAACUGUCCUUGUUCAUUCCUGGGUGUAGGCCAAACUAACUUUGGAAGAAACUUAGUUUAUGGUUUCCCGAAACAAAUCCUUUUCUUGUCUGGAGACUAGACUGCCUUUGUAGGACUAACAAAUUAGCCACAAGAUUAGAAAUUAUGGUUUAGAAUUCAUGCAGCUGGAGAUUACAAGAUUCUGACCCUCCCUAAAUUGCUCCUGGGGAUAACAUCACUAUUGAAAAACCUAACAACAGUGCUUGAGAUAUUUUGCAGACCUUGCACUUGCUGAAUUAGCUGGGACCAUCCAGAUGGAUAAACUGGCUCAUCUGAUCUUGUGGCCCGCACUCAGCAACCGGCUCAGGCCAAGAGGACAGCUUUGAUCCAUACGAUUUCAUCUCUGAUCUGACCCCUCAGUGCUCCCAGCUUACUGGCCCCCUACCUACCAAAUUAUCCUUAAAAACUCUGAACUCCAGGGCUGGGCACGGUGGCUCACACCUGUAAUCCCAGGACUCUGGGAGGCCGAGGCAGGCGGAUCACUUGAGGUCAGAAGUUCAAGACCAGCCUGGCCAACAUGGCAAAACCCCGUCUCUACUAAAAAUACAAAAAUUAGCCAGGCGUGGUGGUGCACGCCUGUAAUGCCAACUACUUGGGAGCCUGAGGCAGGAGAAUUGCUUGAACCCUGAAGGCGGAGGUUGCAGUGUGCUGAAAUCGCACCACUGCACUCCAGCCUGGGCAACAGAGCAAGACUCCAUCUCAAAAACAACAGCAAAAACUCUGAACUCCGAAUUCUUGGGGAAAUUGAUUUGAGUAAUAAUAAAACUCUGGUCUCCCGCACAGCCAGCUCUGUGUGGAUUAUUCUUUCUCUAUGCAGUUCACCUGUUUGGAUAAAUCAGCUCUGUGUAGGCAACAUGAACCUGAUUGGCAGUUACAGUAGCCUGUAAUCCCAGCUACGUGGGAGGCUGAGGCAGGAGAAUUGCCUGAACCUGGGAGGCGGAGGUUGCAGUGAGCCGAGAUCAUGCCACUGCACUCCAGCCUGGGCAACAG